UGGGGUAUGGUGAAAUGGUAUCACAGCGUUCUUUGACAGCGUUGUUGUAGGUUCGAUCCCUACUACCCCUGCCA
rnacentral:tRNA from 1 species